GGGCGCAUAGCUCAGUUUGGUUAGAGCGCGUCCCUGAUAAGGACGAGGUCCAUGGUUCGAGUCCAUGUGCGCCCA
rnacentral:tRNA from 1 species